GGGCUAUUAGCUCAGGUGGUUAGAGCGCUGUCCUGAUAAGACAGAGGUCGAUGGUUCAAGUCCAGCAUAGCCCA
rnacentral:tRNA from 1 species